GAUGAACGCUGACAGAAUGCUUAACACAUGCAAGUCGAUGGGGAAGUGGUGCUUGCACCAUGGCAACCAUGGCGGACGGGUGAGUAACGCGUAAGGGACUUACCUGCAGGACUGGGAUAACAGGGGGAAACUCCUGACAAGACCGGAUAAUGUCAUGGAGCUGCCUGGCUUUAUGAUGAAAGGAGACGCCUGCGGAGAGCCUUGCGUCCUAUUAGCUAGUUGGUGAGGUAAUGGCUCACCAAGGCGAAGAUAGGUAGCCGGCCUGAGAGGGUGGACGGCCACAAGGGGACUGAGAUACGGCCCUUACUCCUACGGGAGGCAGCAGUGGGGAAUAUUGGACAAUGGGGGCAACCCUGAUCCAGCAAUUCUGUGUGCACGAAGAAGGUUUUCGGAUUGUAAAGUGCUUUCAGCAGGGAAGAAGUAAGUGACGGUACCUGCAGAAGAAGCGACGGCUAAAUACGUG
rnacentral:rRNA from 1 species